rnacentral:rRNA from 1 species
AACGAACGCUGGCGGCAGGCCUAACACAUGCAAGUCGAGCGAUCGCAGCAAUGCGGGAGCGGCAGACGGGUGAGUAACACGUGGGAACGUACCCUUCGGUUCGGAAUAACUCAGGGAAACUUGAGCUAAUACCGGAUACGUCCGAGAGGAGAAAGAUUUAUCGCCGAAGGAUCGGCCCGCGUCUGAUUAGCUAGUUGGUGAGGUAAUGGCUCACCAAGGCGACGAUCAGUAGCUGGUCUGAGAGGAUGAUCAGCCACAUUGGGACUGAGACACGGCCCAAACUCCUACGGGAGGCAGCAAUGGGGAAUAUUGGACAAUGGGCGCAAGCCUGAUCCAGCCAUGCCGCGUGAGUGAUGAAGGCCUUAGGGUUGUAAAGCUCUUUUACCUGGGAAGAUAAUGACGGUACCAGGAGAAUAAGCCCCGGCUAACUUCGUGCCAGCCGCCGCCGUAAAAC